rnacentral:tRNA from 1 species
ACUCACGUUGCUUAGUGGUGGAGCAAUAGUGCGUAAAACCACGUACGCGGGUUCAAUUCCCGGCGAGAGCG